AACGAACGCUGGCGGCAUGCCUAACACAUGCAAGUCGAACGAGACCUUCGGGUCUAGUGGCGCACGGGUGCGUAACGCGUGGGAACCUGCCCUUAGGUUCGGAAUAACUCCCCGAAAGGGGUGCUAAUACCGGAUAAUGUCUUCGGACCAAAGAUUUAUCGCCUUUGGAUGGGCCCGCGUUGGAUUAGCUAGUUGGUAGGGUAAAAGCCUACCAAGGCGACGAUCCAUAGCUGGUCUGAGAGGAUGAUCAGCCACACUGGGACUGAGACACGGCCCAGACUCCUACGGGGGGCAGCAGGGGGGAAUAUUGGAAAAGGGGCGAAAGCCUGACCCAGCAAUGCCGGGGGGGGGAUGAAGGCCUUAGGGUUGUAAAGCUCUUUUACCCGGGAUGAAAAUGACAGUACCGGGAGAAUAAGCCCCGGCUAACUCCGG
rnacentral:rRNA from 1 species